rnacentral:lncRNA from 1 species
AAGUUGAUUUCUGCAAUCUAAGUGAAUUCUAAGUUCAAGUUCAUUAUUUAUUUGCUAUUGCUUUAAGAACUUUUGUUUUCCCUUACCUUCAUUUGUUAGCCAUCACCCCAAGCCCCAUUACAACCCUUAACUUCAAUCUUGAGUGUUAUGUGUUUCAAUUUGUGGAGUUUGAAUUUGGUAUGAGCAUAUGGUAUCACUGGUUCUCGCAUCUAAGUAGUAGCAUUCCAUUCAUGAGAUCAUAUCUUAAACAUGCUUUUUAACUCCAGAAAUUGCGUUCUUUGUUAUACAUAUAUGUGAGCAUUCGUUUCCAUAUCUACAUCAAUCUUCUCACAUAUAACUAGUAUAGGGUGUGUAGUUAGAAAAUCUGAGUGAAAAUUGAGUGCAUAUCUUGUAAGGAAUUGAGUGAUUUCUCUAAGGCUUGUUACUACAUCAAAAACAUUGUUUUAAUUGAUUAACAUGAACAAGUAAGUAAUGACGAUGAUUAAGUAUGUGCUUAACUGUAGAGAUGACUCAAAUCUGUGGGGAUGAUAAUCUUUAACAUGUCAUGUGCAUUGGAAAUCCCUGAGGCAAUUGUUGGAAGGUUUAGGUUGUGUUGUAUUCGUUUCGUUUCGUUUUAUUUCUUUGUUUGCUCGAGGACUAGCAAAAGCUAAGUGUGGGGGAAUUUGAUAGGAGCAUAUUUAUGUGACUUAGUUGGCUUGUUCUUGUGCAUUUAUGUCGUGUUUCCUUAGUUAUUUU